rnacentral:misc_RNA from 1 species
GGAGGGGCCAUCUUUGAAGUAUUGUUAGGAUCAAGAGGCAAAACCCCAGAGUUGAAUCUCUGAGAAGGUAUACUGAGCUGCUCAUAUAAAGCCAUCUUAUUCCUUGGAGGUGCUCUUGGACCUCCUUUAUCUGUAUCAUUAACAUGAAGUCUUGGAAACAUAGGCCCCAUAACUUUCUCUUCACCUUUCCCUCUCUUCAUUAUUUUUCCUCUCCUAACCUUCCUACAGAUUCAUCAAACACAGUCCAAAUUAACUAAUUCACAAGCACCACCCCCUCAAGAACUCAAAAAGAUCAAAUUUUUUCCAUCAUAAACAGUAAAAUCUAACAGAUCAAAACAAAAAAAAAGUCA